CGCUCCCGGGUCCGCAGCCCCCACCGCCGACAGGGCCCCGCAGGGCGCAGCGGGGCUGGGAAGGGGAAGUCGGCCAGGCCUGCGCGGCUUCCCAGGCUGUCCCGGCGCAGAGGCGGCCCCGGGCCUCCUUGGAAAGGAACCGUCCCCGUGUAUCCCGGCGGGGUGAGCACAAGGCGGGUGCUGUCCGACUUUCAACAGUCGCAGCGAGAAUGUCCUAGGAAACUAAACAACUUUUUAAACUGUCUUUCCAAAGAAUCAGGAUGCUGAGAAGUCAACCAGCUCCUGGAGGACUGACCGGAAGGGCACCUGGCCUCGGCCCGGGCGGCUCCCCAUUCGUUCCUCACUGCGCCCCUCAUCCCCACUCCCCCGGCCCUGCAGGGUGCCCCGUGGUGCUGACCAUGGCAUUGCCUGGACCCAUCAACUGGUAAAACACACGAGCCUUAGCAGAGAUACGAUUUCAUUCCUCACCAGAGGCCCUUGAGAUUUUAGGAUUCUAUCAACGCUAGUAAAGGAACUACUUGAACACGUUGCUUUGUACUGCUUUCCCUGACUGUAAAACAUUAAAGAAAUUCCAUAAGGAUGAAGAUAUUUUUCCGUUGUCUGCUGAAUCCCUGAAGCCUAGCAUGUGUAAGAAGACACAGAAUGCAUAUUCACUGUAUCAUUUAGUCCUGGGCUGCUGAGAGAAAAUGCAAUCUCUAUGACAAAGCCAGCUCCACCUUCUAUCGGUCCCCUACUGUUGGGUGAAUAGUCCUCCAAAUGCUGGCAGGAAGGGGAUUGACUGCUAAGGAAGGAAAUCUCAGGCACUUCUCAUAUCUGAAAGGAAGGCACAGGAAGAGCCGCAGGAUGGAACUCAGACUGGAUGAAACUGGGAAGAUUUUGCUAGACAGAAAUUAGAAACGCUCCUACAAAGAAACUGAAGUUCCAUGAACAUGCUGUUGCCACCCUGCAAUUUAGUGUCAUACUCUACUUGUAACUCUCACCUAACAAUGUGUCAUCUUUACUUUUUAUGUUAUUUAUUUACAAGUGCAUUUUCAGUAUCAACCCCUUCAUUCAUUAAUCCUAAUGUGGCCUUUUCCAAUGUCUACUUACCAUUUUAAAUACUUACCAUAAUUUACAGGGCUUUCUUGAACAUAUCCAAGGUAUAUUAUAUGAGUCUAGCUUAAUGGAAAGUCUUGUAUACCAAAGCAGGAAAAAAAACACAUUUAAUUUAUGAUGGCUUUGAAUUUUGAUCAUAAUUUACUCCUGGAGACCUAUUCACACAAAGCAAUACCAAUACAAUUUUUCAGAAGCAAUAAAAAAUAAAACAAUAAA